GACGUAGGGGGCGAGCGUUGUCCGGAUUUAUUGGGCGUAAAGCGCUCGCAGGUGGUUCAUUGCGUCGUGCGUGAAAGACCCCGGCUCAACUGGGGAGGGUCGUGCGAAACGGGUGAACUAGAGGCCAGUAGGGGGAUGCGGAAUUCCGGGUGUAGUGGUGGAAUGCGUAGAGAUCCGGAGGAACACCAGCGGCGAAGGCGGCAUCCUGGACUGGUCCUGACACUCAGGAGCGAAAGCGUGGGGAGCGAUCCGG
rnacentral:rRNA from 1 species